GUAACCAGCAGGUAGUCUAGUGGUUAGAGUGUUGGACUAGUAACCAGCAGGGUAGCCUAGUGGUUAGAGUGUUGGACUAGUAACCAGCAGGUAGUCUAGUGGUUAGAGUGUUGGACUAGUAACCAGCAGGUAGUCUAGUGGUUAGAGUGUUGGACUAGUAACCAGCAGGUAGCCUAGUGGUUAGAGUGUUGGACUAGUAACCAGGCAGGGUAGUCUAGUGGUUAGAGCGUUGGACUAGUAACCAGCAGGUAGCCUAGUGGUUAGAGUGUUGGACUAGUAACCAGCAGGUAGCCUAGUGGUUAGAGUGUUGGACUAGUAACCAGGCAGGGUAGUCUAGUGGUGAGAGUGUUGGACUAGUAACCAGCAGGUAGCCUAGUGGUUAGAGUGUUGGACUAGUAACCAGCAGGUAGCCUAGUGGUUAGAGUGUUGGACUAGUAACCAGGCAGGGUAGUCUAGUGGUUAGAGUGUUGGACUAGUAACCAGCAGGUAGCCUAGUGGUUAGAGUGUUGGACUAGUAACCAGCAGGUAGCCUAGUGGUUAGAGUGUUGGACUAGUAACCAGCAGGUAGUCUAGUGGUUAGAGUGUUGGACUAGUAACCAGCAGGGUAGCCUAGUGGUUAGAGUGUUGGACUAGUAACCAGCAGGGUAGCCUAGUGGUUAGAGUGUUGGACUAGUAACCAGCAGGGUAGCCUAGUGGUUAGAGUGUUGGACUAGUAACCAGCAGGGUAGCCUAGUGGUUAGAGUGUUGGACUAGUAACCAGCAGGUAGCCUAGUGGUUAGAGUGUUGGACUAGUAACCAGCAGGUAGCCUAGUGGUUAGAGUGUUGGACUAGUAACCAGCAGGUAGCCUAGUGGUUAGAGUGUUGGACUAGUAACCAGCAGGGUAGCCUAGUGGUUAGAGUGUUGGACUAGUAACCAGCAGGGUAGCCUAGUGGUUAGAGUGUUGGACUAGUAACCAGCAGGGUAGCCUAGUGGUUAGAGUGUUGGACUAGUAACCAGCAGGGUAGCCUAGUGGUUAGAGUGUUGGACUAGUAACCAGCAGGUAGCCUAGUGGUUAGAGUGUUGGACUAGUAACCAGCAGGUAGCCUAGUGGUUAGAGUGUUGGACUAGUAACCAGCAGGUAGCCUAGUGGUUAGAGUGUUGGACUAGUAACCAGCAGGGUAGCCUAGUGGUUAGAGUGUUGGACUAGUAACCAGCAGGGUAGCCUAGUGGUUAGAGUGUUGGACUAGUAACCAGCAGGGUAGCCUAGUGGUUAGAGUGUUGGACUAGUAACCAGCAGGUAGCCUAGUGGUUAGAGUGUUGGACUAGUAACCAGCAGGUAGCCUAGUGGUUAGAGUGUUGGACUAGUAACCAGCAGGUAGCCUAGUGGUUAGAGUGUUGGACUAGUAACCAGCAGGGUAG